AGUGUGUGGGCGCAGUGCCCUCGCUGCUGCUGCUCUCUGCCCCUCCAGUCUUUCCAACACCGUCUCCGUGCCGAUGACACCACUGUGGUGCUUAAUCUUACUGUCAGCCUGCUCAGUUGGAGAGACCCCUGGGAAAUUAGGAAAGUGCAUUCCGGGUGUGUCUCCUGUGCGCAGUGUGUCUGUGAGGGAGUCGGCAGAGGUGGUUGGCAUGGCUCCCUGAGAUGGGGGUGACCGCUGCCUGGAAUGUGGGUGGCUCCGUACAGCAGGCUGGGGGCCCUGAGGAGUUGGAAUGGAGGACGGAGGAAGCCCAGCAGCACAGCUUUCUCAGCCUUUCUGCUUCAGACCAGACCUUCACAAGGGGAGCAGGUUUCCUCCCCCUGCCCUCUCCGCCAGGAUCUGCCCAUAAGGUGGAGCCAGCCUGCCAGCACCUGAAGCCUGUGACCCUGUAAGCCAAAGAAAGCCUCUCUGCCUGUAAGCUGUGCUUGCAGGUGAUCUGCUCCAGUGACAGAAGGCUGACUCACAGUGUAGCCUUUUGUGAGGAUCCGGGCGACCACUUCUCCUGAGGGCCAGAUUUACAUCCUAAAUGACUGCGUGGAGGCUUGCUUGAGGAGCACAAGCAUAAAAUGCCACUGGCUUCUGGCUCCUCUUGGUGGCCUUCCCUCACCAGAGAACCCCGCAGAGCUCUGUGCAGUGUCUGUGGAGAUCAGAUCCUCUCAGGGCUCCCCAUCCUACCCAAAGCCUUGCUGUCUUCUGAGCCCCUCGAACCUGUCCUCUUGCCUCUCUUGUGGCCACCAACAUCACAAUGCCGUUCCCUUUAUGAUACCCGGGACCCAAAUGCCCUCCCUACCUCGUGUGUCCCUCUCUCUGCUCUCUCGGCCAGGGCCUCCCCUCCUCUGGCCUCCCCUCAGGCUUCUCAGCCUGUUGCUCUUUCUGCAGUGUCACCAGAAUGCACAGAUGUCUCUACUCUGGGGUCUUUGCUCUUGGGCUUCUGGACUCCCAGCAGGGAUAUGACUCAGCAGGGCAGGAGGUUUAUGCUGCUCGCUGCUCCCACAAGAAAGGAAAGAUGGUCUCUGCUCGUGGCAGCUUGA
rnacentral:lncRNA from 1 species